rnacentral:rRNA from 1 species
AUUGAACGCUGGCGGCAGGCCUAACACAUGCAAGUCGAGCGGAGCGGCGGACGGGUGAGUAAUGCCUAGGAAUCUGCCUGGUAGUGGGGGAUAACGUCCGGAAAUGGGCGCUAAUACCGCAUACUCUCAGAUGAGCCUAGGUCGGAUUAGCUAGUUGGUGGGGUAAAGGCCUACCAAGGCGACGAUCCGUAACUGGGCUGAGAGGAUGAUCAGUCAAACUUGAACUGAGACACGGUCCAGAAUCCUACGGGAGGCAGCAGGGGGGAAUAUUGGACAAUGGGCGAAAGCCUGAUCCAGCCAUGCCGCGUGUGUGAAGAAGGUCUUCGGAUUGUAAAGCACUUUAAGUUGGGAGGCGUUACCAACAGAAUAAGCACCGGCUAACUUCGUGCCAGCAGCCGCGGUAAUUC